rnacentral:rRNA from 1 species
AGUGAACGCUGGCGGUAGGCCUAACACAUGCAAGUCGAACGGCAGCACAGGAGAGCUUGCUCUCUGGGUGGCGAGUGGCGGACGGGUGAGGAAUACAUCGGAAUCUACUUUUUCGUGGGGGAUAACGUAGGGAAACUUACGCUAAUACCGCAUACGACCUACGGGUGAAAGCAGGGGAUCUUCGGACCUUGCGCGAUUGAAUGAGCCGAUGUCGGAUUAGCUAGUUGGCGGGGUAAAGGCCCACCAAGGCGACGAUCCGUAGCUGGUCUGAGAGGAUGAUCAGCCACACUGGAACUGAGACACGGUCCAGACUCCUACGGGAGGCAGCAGUGGGGAAUAUUGGACAAUGGGCGCAAGCCUGAUCCAGCCAUACCGCGUGGGUGAAGAAGGCCUUCGGGUUGUAAAGCCCUUUUGUUGGGAAAGAAAUCCAGCUGGCUACUACCCGGUUGGGAUGACGGUACCCAAAGAAUAAGCACCGGCUAACUUCGUGCCAGCAGCCGCAGUAAAAC